UGGUGGAGUGAUUUGUCUGGUUAAUUCCGAUAACGAACGAGACCUCCGCCUGCUAAAUAGCUGCGCUUGCAAUUGCAGGCUCAGCUUCUUAGAGGGACAAUGUGUGUUUAGCACAUGGAAGUUGGAGGCAAUAACA
rnacentral:rRNA from 1 species